UACGGGAGGCAGCAGUGAGGAAUAUUGGUCAAUGGGCGGAGGCCUGAACCAGCCAAGUCGCGUGGGGGACGACGGCCCUACGGGUUGUAAACCCCUUUAGCCGGGGAGUAACAAGCGCCACGCGUGGCGCCAUGAGAGUACCCGGAGAAUAAGCAUCGGCUAACUCCGUGCCAGCAGCCGCGGUAAU
rnacentral:rRNA from 1 species